UAGGGAAUCUUCCGCAAUGGGCGAAAGCCUGACGGAGCAACGCCGCGUGAGUGAUGAAGGUCUUCGGAUCGUAAAACUCUGUUAUUAGGGAAGAACAAAUGUGUAAGUAACUAUGCACGUCUUGACGGUACCUAAUCAGAAAGCCACGGCUAACUACGUGCCAGCAGCCGCGGUAAUACGUAGGUGGCAAGCGUUAUCCGGAAUUAUUGGGCGUAAAGCGCGCGUAGGCGGUUUUUUAAGUCUGAUGUGAAAGCCCACGGCUCAACCGUGGAGGGUCAUUGGAAACUGGAAAACUUGAGUGCAGAAGAGGAAAGUGGAAUUCCAUGUGUAGCGGUGAAAUGUGCAGAGAUAUGGAGGAACACCAGUGGCGAAGGCGACUUUCUGGUCUGUAACUGACGCUGAUGCGCGAAAGCGUGGGGAUCAAACAGG
rnacentral:rRNA from 1 species